rnacentral:rRNA from 1 species
UACGGGGGGGGGCAAGCGUUGUUCGGAAUUACUGGGCGUAAAGCGCGCGUAGGCGGACCUGCAAGUCGGGGGUGAAAGCCCGAGGCUCAACCUCGGAACUGCCUUCGAUACUGCGGGUCUCGAGUCCGGGAGAGGUGAGUGGAAUUCCUAGUGUAGAGGUGAAAUUCGUAGAUAUUAGGAAGAACACCAGUGGCGAAGGCGGCUCACUGGCCCGGUACUGACGCUGAGGCGCGAAAGCGUGGGGAGCAAACAGG